rnacentral:tRNA from 1 species
GUUCCGGUCGUCUAGCGGCCAGGAUACCGACCUUUCAAGUCGGAUGACGCGGGUUCAAAUCCCGCCCGGAACACCA